AACACGCAGAAAAAAAAAACACGAAAAUGUGGUGAAAGGACUGGAAAGUCUCUUGUUCAGUUAUAAAGAUAUUAAACAUAGCUCUUUCCAUAUGUUUGUAUUAUUCCAAAUAGGAAAUUGCGGAGCAACUUGAUAUUUUAAUAAAAAUUAAAAAAAAAAAGAUGUGAAGACUUCUAACAAUUAUCUUCUAUGCAUCAGAUCAUAACAAGUUCAACUGAGAACCACACAGUUUGCAGAUUUUGCAAAUAACUACUGUUAACACAAGUUAAUGA